UGGGGAAUAUUGCACAAUGGGCGCAAGCCUGAUGCAGCCAUGCCGCGUGUAUGAAGAAGGCCUUCGGGUUGUAAAGUACUUUCAGCGGGGUGGAAGGGAGUAACGUUAAUACCUUUGCUCAUUGACGUUACCCGCAGAAGAAGCACCGUCUAACUCCGUGCCAGCAGCCGCGGUAAUACGGAGGGUGCAAGCGUUAAUCGGAAUUACUGGGCGUAAAGCGCACGCAGGCGGUUUGUUAAGUCAGAUGUGAAAUCCCCGGGCUCAAACUGGGAACUGCAUCUGAUACUGGCAAGCUUGAGGCUCGUAGAGGGGGGUAGAAUUCCAGGUGUAGCGGUGAAAUGCGUAGAGAUCUGGAGGAAUACCGGUGGCGAAGGAGGCCCCCUGGACGAAGACUGACGCUCAGGUGCGAAAGCGUGGGGAGCAAACAGG
rnacentral:rRNA from 1 species